GACCCUCAUGUAUUCAAGUGCAUUCGGAACAAUUUACUGAAGGUUGGGAAGUUUCUGCUACCCCAAAGCCAAGAGGUUUUUCACUGCCACUAUUCUGCCCUACUAGAGUAUGAAGAGGAGCAGGCUGGGCUUCGCGCAGUGCCGAAGCUGACUAAAGCGCACAUUUUCCCUAAUGCAUUUCAAAAAAUGAGUGUGCGGCUUGCUGUCCAGUUGUUUAGUGAAAGCACUGCUGCAGCCAUGAAGUUCUAUAGCAAGCAAGAGGCAUGCAAGAACCUUCAUCACUCAACAGCAUCGUCAGACUUCACACGACGCAUGAACAAGCUGUUUGAUAGCCUUAAUUCUCGCAGGCCAGAGCGUGUAAAAUACAAUGAGGCCGAACA